rnacentral:tRNA from 1 species
UUCCUGGUGGCUCAGACGGUAAAGCGUCUGCCUGCAAUGCAGGAGACCUGGGUUUGACCAGGAAG